AUUAAACGCUGGCGGCAUGCCUUACACAUGCAAGUCGAACGGCAGCACGGGGCACCUGGUGGCGACGUAGGGCGGACGGUGAGGUAAAGCGAUCGGAACGUAUCCUGGAGUGGGGGAUAACGUAGCGAAAGUUACGCUAAUACCGCAUAUUCUGUGAGCAGGAAAGCAGGGGAUCGCAAGACCUUGCGCUCUGGGAGCGGCCGAUGUCGGAUUAGCUAGUUGGUGGGGUAAAGGCCUACCAAGGCGACGAUCCGUAGCGGGUCUGAGAGGAUGAUCCGCCACACUGGGACUGAGACACGGCCCAGACUCCUACGGGAGGCAGCAGUGGGGAAUUUUGGACAAUGGGCGGAAGCCUGAUCCAGCCAUGCCGCGUGAGUGAAGAAGGCCUU
rnacentral:rRNA from 1 species